GGGCCCUUAGCUCAACGGUUAGAGCAGGGGACUCAUAAUCCCUUGGUUGUAGGUUCGAUUCCUACAGGGCCCAUCA
rnacentral:tRNA from 1 species